rnacentral:sRNA from 1 species
GCCAGGUGUGGUGGCACACGCCUGUAAUCCCAGUGGCUUGGGAGGCUGAGGCAGGAGGAUUACAAAUUCAGGGCCAGCCUCAUAACUAAGUGAGGCUCUCAGCAGCUUAGUGAGAUCCUGUCUCAA